UACGAAGGGGGCUAGCGUUGUUCGGAAUCACUGGGCGUAAAGGGUGCGUAGGCGGAUUCUUAAGUCAGGGGUGAAAUCCCGAGGCUCAACCUCGGAACUGCCUUUGAUACUGGGGAUCUUGAGUCCGGAAGAGGUGAGUGGAACUGCGAGUGUAGAGGUGAAAUUCGUAGAUAUUCGCAAGAACACCGGUGGCGAAGGCGGCUCACUGGUCCGGAACUGACGCUGAGGAGCGAAAGCGUGGGGAGCGAACAGG
rnacentral:rRNA from 1 species